rnacentral:pre_miRNA from 1 species
GCGGUUAUGGUGCAUAAGAAAAUCCUUAUGCACCCUGCAUAAAUCCAGAAAUGGUUUUGGAGUACAACUCACAGAAACCAUUUCCACAGUAAAAUGGUUUUGGCAUAAUUGGGUUGGGAUUUAUGCAAGGUGCUGGAAAUCAUUAAGUACAUCUAAUGGUUUUGAAGUACAACUCACAAAAACCAUUUCUGAAUUUAUGCAGGGUGCAUAAGGAUUUCCUUAUGCACCAUAACCG